GAGGGUAUAGCUCAGUGGUAGAGCGUGUGCUUAGCAUGCAUAAGGUCCUGGGUUCAAUCCCCAGAAUCUCCA
rnacentral:tRNA from 1 species